rnacentral:lncRNA from 1 species
CGGAUUCUUUCGUUUUGGUCCAUUUUGCAACGCAACAUUUAGGCAGGCAGGGAAUAUUUCCCUUUUGGUCCCGUUGUUAUUCGCACAUUUUGCUUCGGCCCUUUUUUUAUUUUAUUUUUGUUUUUUCUUUUAAUUCCGUUUUGAGUUCAAUUUAAUCCCUACUAAUUUAAUGUGCUUGAUUUUCUUUAAAUUUUAUAAUUCUGUUUUGAUUUUCUUUAAUGAUUAAGCGUAAUAUUUUUUAUCUUAUAUUAUUAUUUUACGUUUUAUAUGUAUGGUUUUAAGUAUUUCUUUUCACAAAUUUUGUGUAUUAUUAUUACUUAAAUUUAUCAUAUUUUCUAUUUUUUUAAUGUAAAUUUGAU